rnacentral:rRNA from 1 species
ACGAACCGUCCAAACGUUAUUCGGAAUUACUGGGCUUAAAGGGUGCGUAGGCGGCGCGGAAAGUUGGGUGUGAAAUCCCUCGGCUCAACUGAGGAACUGCCUUUGAAACUGUCGGGCUCGAGGCCGGGAGGGGGUAGCGGAAUUCCCAGUGUAGCGGUGAAAUGCGUAGAUAUUGGGAGGAACACCGGUGGCGAAGGCGGCUACCUGGACCGGUUCUGACGCUGAUGCGCGUAAGCGUGGGUAGCAAACAGGA